rnacentral:rRNA from 1 species
CAGCAGCCGCGGGAAUACGAAGGGGGCUAGCGUUGUUCGGAUUUACUGGGCGUAAAGGGCGCGUAGGCGGGCGAUUAAGUCAGGGGUGAAAUCCCAAGGCUCAACCUUGGAACUGCCUUUGAUACUGAUUGUCUUGAGUUCGAGAGAGGUAAGUGGAACUGCGAGUGUAGAGGUGAAAUUCGUAGAUAUUCGCAAGAACACCAGUGGCGAAGGCGGCUUACUGGCUCGAAACUGACGCUGAGGCGCGAAAGCGUGGGGAGCAAACAGGAUUAGAUACCCGCGUAGUCCCUGUCUCUUAUAC